rnacentral:snRNA from 1 species
CUGACAGAAUGUUCAUUUUAGCAGCACUAAAAUUGAAAUGAUAUAGAAGAUUGGCAUGGUCCCUGAGCAAAGGUAAUAUGCAAAUUCAUGAAGUGCUCCAUACGUAA